GAGUAACACGUAUCCAACCUGCCGUCUACUCUUGGACAGCCUUCUGAAAGGAAGAUUAAUACAAGAUGGCAUCAUGAGUCCGCAUGUUCACAUGAUUAAAGGUAUUCCGGUAGACGAUGGGGAUGCGUUCCAUUAGAUAGUAGGCGGGGUAACGGCCCACCUAGUCUUCGAUGGAGUAGGGGUUCUGAGGGGAAGGUCCCCCACAUUGGAACUGAGACACGGUCCAAACUCCUACGGGAGGCAGCAUG
rnacentral:rRNA from 1 species